UAGUUGGAAGAAGCACCGUACAUCAAGCGAGAUUAUCGUAUCUUGCGGUAAUCAUAUCUUUUGGUGGAAGAAGCAACGUCAACGAAAAUACAAAAAAAAAUACAAAAAGAAGUUCAAGAAAGUUGCAAGUGAAAAAAAAUCGAAAAUCAGCAAAAGAAAGAGAAGUCGAAGCAUUCAUCAACAAGUUUAUCACCGAGCCAUUCAAAGAAAGCCUUUGAUUGAUUGUGGUGAUAGAAAGGUUGUGAAGUAACGUGUUACACAAGACCAAAUGAUUAUACAGGAGAUAACGAACGAGAUUUUUUAUCAAAUUCUCAAUUUCAAGAUUUCAGUCGAGAAUUGAGGAGUUUGCUCAAAGAAAAUCUCAACCCAAUCAUAAAGACGAUGGAUCGUAUAAUCGAAAAACGUUCUUGUUCACAAACACCUCCGCCGAAGAUCAGAGGCGAAAUCAAGAGGAGAGACGACACUCAAUCCUGUUCUAGUUCUAUACCCAAUUGUAGCAGAAGAUCUUACCAGGAGGAUUCCAAUUUUCUAACAAGAAGAAAUGUCAAAAGUUCAACGAGAAGAGAGCCAAGGAAUUUUGCAUGUUUUAAUCCCGAAAGUCUAUCUUGUCUUCAAAAGUGUGUUGACAAUUUCGUCAAAGAAACACAAUUGCAAGAACAACUACAAAAAGAAAGUGUUUGCAAAAAAAAAGAAGAAGUGAAAGUUGAAACCGACAUUGAGAGCAAUAGAAAAAUUGAUGAGAGAAAUGUUGGAGUCCAAAGUGAGAACGAGAGUGAAAAUAAAGAGCUUGAAAAAGAAAUUGUUUGUGCAAAAGAAAAAGAGUGUCAAAUUUCAAUUUGCA